rnacentral:rRNA from 1 species
UACGUAGGGUGCGAGCGUUGCCCGGAUUUAUUGGGCGUAAAGGGCGCGCAGGCGGCUCGGCACGUCCGUUGUGAAAUCGCCCGGCUCAACUGGGCGGGGUCAGCGGAUACGGUCGAGCUUGAGCAAGCCAGGGGGCAAUGGAAUUCCCGGUGUAGUGGUGGAAUGCGUAGAUAUCAGGAGGAACACCGGUGGCGAAGGCGCACAUCUGGCCCGAUACUGACGCUGAGGCGCGAAAGCUAGGGGAGCAAACGGG